GGGCGCUUAGCUCAGCGGUAGAGCACUGCUCUUACAAAGCAGGGGUCACUGGUUCGAAACCAGUAGCGCCCA
rnacentral:tRNA from 2 species